AAGUCGUAACAAGGUCUCCGUAGGUGAACCUGCGGAGGGAUCAUUACCGAGCGAGGGCCUCCGGGUCCGACCUCCAACCCUUUGUGAACACAUCCCGUUGCUUCGGGGGCGACCCUGCCGGGCGCCCCCGGAGGACCACCAAAAAACACUGCAUCUCUGCGUCGGAGUUUACGAGUAAAUCGAAACAAAACUUUCAACAACGGAUCUCUUGGUUCUG
rnacentral:misc_RNA from 1 species